rnacentral:rRNA from 1 species
AAGCAUAUCAAUAAGCGGAGGAAAAGAAACCAACAGGGAUUGCCUUAGUAACGGCGAGUGAAGCGGCAAAAGCUCAAAUUUGAAAUCUGGCACCUUCGGUGUCCGAGUUGUAAUUUGAAGAAGGUAACUUUGGAGUCAGCUCUUGUCUAUGUUCCUUGGAACAGGACGUCACAGAGGGUGAGAAUCCCGUGCGAUGAGAUGUCUGAUUCUAUGUAAAGUGCUUUCGAAGAGUCGAGUUGUUUGGGAAUGCAGCUCUAAGUGGGUGGUAAAUUCCAUCUAAAGCUAAAUAUUGGCGAGAGACCGAUAGCGAACAAGUACAGUGAUGGAAAGAUGAAAAGAACUUUGAAAAGAGAGUGAAAAAGUACGUGAAAUUGUUGAAAGGGAAGGGUUUGAGAUCAGACUUGGUAUUUUGUAUGUCUUGCUUUCGGGUGGGGCCUCUACAGUUUACUGGGCCAGCAUCGGUUUGGACGGUAGGAUAAUGACAUUGGAAUGUGGCACCACUUCGGUGGU